rnacentral:rRNA from 1 species
GUCGAGGGGCAUCAUGAGGUAGCAAUACCUUGAUGGCGACCGGCGCACGGGUGAGUAACGCGUAUGCAACCUGCCUGAUACCGGGGUAUAGCCCAUGGAAACGUGGAUUAACACCCCAUAGUACUUUUUAUCCUGCAUGGGAUGUGAGUUAAAUGUUUAAGGUAUCGGAUGGGCAUACGUCCUAUUAGUUAGUUGGCGGGGUAACAGCCCACCAAGACGAUGAUAGGUAGGGGUUCUGAGAGGAAGGUCCCUCACAUUGGAACUGAGACACGGUCCAAACUCCUACGGGAGGCAGCAGUGAGGAAUAUUGGUCAAUGGACGAGAGUCUGAACCAGCCAAGUCGCGUGAGGGAAGACUGCCCUAUGGGUUGUAAACCUCUUUUAUAAGGGAAGAAUAAGUUCUACGUGUAGAAUGAUGCCUGUACCUUAUGAAUAAGCAUCGGCUAACUCCGUGCCAGCAGCCGCGGUAAUACGGAGGAUGCGAGCGUUAUCCGGAUUUAUUGGGUUUAAAGGGUGCGUAGGCGGUUUAUUAAGUUAGUGGUUAAAUAUUUGAGCUAAACUCAAUUGUGCCAUUAAUACUGGUAAACUGGAGUACAGACGAGGUAGGCGGAAUAAGUUAAGUAGCGGUGAAAUGCAUMGAUAUAACUUAGAACUCCGAUAGCGAAGGCAGCUUACCAGACUGUAACUGACGCUGAUGCACGAGAGCGUGGGUAGCGAACAGGAUUAGAUACCCUGGUAGUCCACGCCGUAAACGAUGCUCACUGGUUCUAUGCGAUAUAUUGUACGGGAUUAAGCGAAAGUAUUAAGUGAGCCACCUGGGGAGUACGUCUGCAACGAUGAAACUCAAAGGAAUUGACUGGGGCCCGCACAAGCGGAGG